AACCCAGCUUGCUGGGUGGAUUAAUGGCGAACGGGUGAGUAACACGUGGGUGAUCUGCCCUGCACUUCGGGAUAAGCCUGGGAAACUGGGUCUAAUACCGGAUAGGACCUCGGGAUGCAUGUUCCGGGGUGGAAAGGUUUUCCGGUGCAAGAUGGGCCCGCGGCCUAUCAGCUUGUUGGUGGGGUAACGGCCCACCAAGGCGACCACGGGUAGCCGGCCUGAGAGGGCGACCGGCCACACUGGGACUGAGACACGGCCCAUACUCCUACGGGAGGCAGCAGUGGGGAAUAUUGCACAAUGGGCGCAAGCCUGAUGCACCGACCCCGCGUGAGGGAUGACGGCCUUCAGGUUGUAAACCUCUUUCAUUACCGACAAAGCGCAAGUGACGGUAGGUACAGAAGAAGCACCGGCCAACUACGUGCCACCAGCCGCGGUAAUACGUAGGGUGCGAGCGUUGUCCGGAAUUACUGGGCGUAAAGAGCUCGUAGGCGGUUUGUCGCGUCCUCUGUGAAAACCCGCAUCUCAUCUGCGGGCUUGCAGGCGAUACCGGCAUACUUGAGUA
rnacentral:rRNA from 1 species